rnacentral:rRNA from 1 species
UACGUAGGGGGCAAGCGUUGUCCGGAAUCAUUGGGCGUAAAGAGCGUGUAGGCGGCCAGAAAAGUCCGCUGUGAAAACUCGAGGCUCAACUUCGAGCUGUCGGUGGAAACUUUCUGGCUAGAGUCCGGAAGAGGAGAAUGGAAUUCCUGGUGUAGCGGUGAAAUGCGCAGAUAUCAGGAAGAACACCCGUGGCGAAGGCGGUUCUCUGGGACGGUACUGACGCUGAGACACGAAAAGCGUGGGGGAGCGAACAGG